rnacentral:lncRNA from 1 species
GUUUAUAUUGUUUGGCUCAGUUAGGUUAUGAAUCAUACCUGGAUGAAAAUAUAUGAGUUGUAUUACUUUUAUAAGCUUUCCAUCAAGCUGAAUAGCAUAAUUUUUGGUGAAGCAUAUGAUUAGUUAUAGUAGUUUAAAUUACUGUUUCAGUUUCUGUCUAAACCCAGACAAGGAUGCAUUGUUUGUUAUGUAAGACCUUGUUAGUUGUAGAUUUAGCUCUAGAUGUUUAUAACAUAGUUGUUUACAAUUUAGUAAGC